rnacentral:rRNA from 1 species
GACAGAGGUGCCAAGCGUUAGGCGGAAUCACUGGGCUUAAAGCGUGUGUAGGCGGGUCGUUAAGUGUCUUGUGAAAUCCCCCGGCUCAACCGGGGAAUGGCUGGGCAUACUGGCGAUCUUGAGCAGUCUAGGGGCAGAUGGAACAGACGGUGGAGCGGUGAAAUGCGUAGAUAUCGUCUGGAACGCCAAAGGUGAAGACAGUCUGCUGGGGACUUGCUGACGCUGAGACACGAAAGCCAGGGGAGCGGACGGG